UAGUUGCUAGUUGGAGUGUCUAGUGUUCACACUAAGUGCAAACAUGGCGAUGUUUACGGUAAUCUCCUUGUUGGUCGCCUGUAGUGUCUUUGCCACAGGAACUGAAGUGUGGGACUGCCAGCCCAAUCCAUGCCUAAAUGGAGGCACUUGCUUCACAAGUUACACAGACCAUACCAUGUAUAUGUGCGUUUGUUCCAGUGGGGUAAGCGGUGACAACUGUGAAAAUAAUAAUUCAUUUGAUAUGAAAAGGGAUGCCUCCACUACUUCCGUCAAAAAGGUUCCGGAGUGAUCAAGUUCCGAUCAGAAAACUUUUCCAACCCGGAUCUGAUCACUUCGAAAUGGCACCGACUACGGACAACAAAGAGGACUUUAUGCCCAAUCAUCAUGUUAAUAUAGCAUUAUUUUGGAGUAUUUUUUUGUUUUGCUUUUUAUCCAUAUUUUUUACUCUCGCUUUUCUGUAUUCUUGAAUGUGUUUAUGUGUUCUUAAACUCAUCCAACUACAUAGUCGAACUUAUUCUUCACAUACGUAUCAAGUGACACUAGCCAGAGAAUAAACUAUUCUCGCAAGAAAUACCUUGACCAAGCAAUUUGCAAGAAAUUCAAACCCUACAAAUACGAAGUGUGUCCACACUUCAUAAAGCCAUUUGACAAAUGGCUUUAUGAAGUGUGGACACGUAAGACUCCAUGUAUAAUUAAUUUCUGAAAUGAAGAUUUACAUUUCUUGGCUUUGUUAGCAGAGGAGUCAUUCAUCUCAACCGUCAAGGAAAUACUGGGAGAAAUAAAGUGUGAUCAUGCAGCGUGAAUUCAUUAUCAGCUGUACUUGAGUACUUUUAACACAGAACCUGAAAUAGGAAAAAGCAAUUUGAAAACAAUCCUGGGAAAGAGUAAAUAACGACGCUGAUUUAACAUUUCUGCUGUACCAACAUGAUGCAUCAGAUGGAAAGCCUGGACAAUCUAUAUGUUUUUGUACACGUACGUUUGCCUGUACUCUUCAUUUUAAAGAAAAGCAAAAAUUUUAUCAUUUCUGUAAAUGUUUUGACUCACCCAAUAAAUUUCAGGAAAGUUUCGACGUGUCUUGGUUUCAAAACCAGCAUUCAAUGAAUUUACUAAUUCUUAAUCAGUGUUGCAUCAUCAUACACCUGCCAUUUCCAAUAAAACUGAAAAAGUUUCAAGCCUGUCGACAAGAUUUUUCUUUCAAAUCUAAACAACAAGAAAUGAAACAUAAAUUGUAAUAUGUUAGUCUUUGUGAUUCUAGAGGUGAGUACGACAUUUUCACUCCACUAGUUUGGGAUAAAAAGUAUGUAAAAAUGGAGGAUGUCGAAUAUCAUAUUGGCGUUUCUGUCAUUUAGCUUAAGCUGAACUCUGGUGAACUGUGGUAUAUUUUAGGUUUUUUUUCUUGGUAGAAAUAAAAAGACAGUUUAAAAUGCA
rnacentral:lncRNA from 1 species